UACGUAGGGUGCAAGCGUUAUCCGGAAUUAUUGGGCGUAAAGAGCUCGUAGGCGGUUUGUUGCGUCGGCUGUGAAAACCUGAGGCUCAACCUCAGGCCUGCAGUCGAUACGAGCAGACUAGAGUGUUGCAGGGGAGACUGGAAUUCCUGGUGUAGCGGUGAAAUGCGCAGAUAUCAGGAGGAACACCGGUGGCGAAGGCGGGUCUCUGGGCAACAACUGACGCUGAGGAGCGAAAGCGUGGGGAGCAAACAGG
rnacentral:rRNA from 1 species